GACAGAGGAUGCAAGCGUUAUCCGGAAUUAUUGGGCGUAAAGCGUCUGUAGGCGGCUUUUCAAGUCCGCCGUCAAAUCCCAGGGCUCAACCCUGGACAGGCGGUGGAAACUACCAAGCUGGAGUACGGUAGGGGCAGAGGGAAUUUCCGGUGGAGCGGUGAAAUGCAUUGAGAUCGGCAAGAACACCAACGGCGAAAGCACUCUGCUGGGCCGACACUGACACUGAGACACGAAAGCCAGGGGAGCAAACGGG
rnacentral:rRNA from 1 species